AAGGAAAAACUUCAGUAUUUUGCAUGUAUUUCAAAAUGGAAUUAAGGAUAUUCGCCACAUGUUUUAUAAUUCUUAUUGGAUUUAACUUUUCUAGUGGUGCAGGUAAUUGUUCUAUAUACCGAUAUUUUUUUUUAAUUCAUAUUUGAGUUUAAUCUUCCUCAAAUUACUGAAAAAUGUAAACUUGUCUUUCAGAAAUCGUACGGUCAAAAAGUUCAGAAACCUAGGUCUGUCGUAUUCAAUUGUAAGUCAAGGUUAAAUAUCCUACGUUCAAUUUGAUUCGUGUAUUAAAUGCAUAUUAUAGUAAGAUGCAAUAAAAUAUGCAUUUUCAUAUUAUUGUUUUUUUUUUUUUUUACUAUAUCGUAUAUUUGUAUACUUAAGACAUGUAUGAAUGUACAUUUUCACGCCAAAUAAACUUGAUUCUAAGAUCAAUUCUCGUAAAACUUUAUAGUUAUGUAAACAAAACAUUACGAGGCGUUAUAAAAUACCAUUUAAUAUUUCGUACAUGUAUAUCAUAAAACACUGAUUCAUGGCCCAUAACUAUACAUAUUCUGAAUUCUAAAUUUUUUUAAUACUUUUAAUAUUCAUAUCGAUGUUGUCUUCAUUUUAAGUAAAAUGACAGCAAUUUGAUAAAAAAAAACAUGGCUUGUGCAAAAAAAAUCAUAGAUUAGACCGUUGUUUUUCCCGUUUUUUGUAAAAACAUUCAUAGAUUAGACCGUUGGUUUUCACAUUUGAAUGAUUUUACAAUAGCAAUUUGUGGGACCCUUUAUAGCUUGCUGUUCGGUGUGAGCCAAUGCUCCGUGUUGAAGGCCGUACAUUGACCUAUAAAGGUUUAUUUUAUAAAUUGUUACAAAAAAGUAAAAUCACAAAAAUCUGAACUUAGAGGAAAAUCAAUUCGGAAAGUCCAUAAUCACAUGGCAAAUCAAAUAACAAAACGCAUCAAAAACGAAUGAACAAGAACUGUCAUAUUCCUGACUUAGUACAGCUGGCAUUUUCAAAUGUAGAAACUGGUGGAUUAAACCUGGUUUUAUAACCCUCUCACUUUGAUGACAGUCUCUUCAAAUUCCGUUAUAUUUACAUUGAUGCGUUAACUAAACAGACACAAUAGAUAAAAUAGUCAAAAUAUGGGUACAUCAGUCAUCAUCGUAUAACAAUUUUAAUUAAGGAAUGACUGUAAUAUUUUUUCUGUCUAUGAAGAAAUAACAUAAAAAAUUUGGUGCACACUGAAUAACGCGCUUAGCGGGUUAUUUAACAGUGUGCACCAAAUUUUUUAUGUUAUUUCUUCAUAGACAGAAAAAUAUUACAGUCAUUUCUUAUAAUUUAAUUCUAAAUUCCAUUUUAAACCGUAGAAAACCACGAAAAAUUGAUGACGUCACGGUCACAUGACUAAAUUAUGUCUAUGGGCUCAAAACAAAAUAACGUCAGCCAAUCAGAAGACGCGUUACAUCCAAAAUUAAAUUAUAAGGAAAUGUACUUGGAUGGAGAAUUCAACUUGUCUCAUUCAACUUCAUCUUGCUACCUGCUGCAUUUUGUACUUUCUUUUCUGUUUUCUGUGUUAGCUGCUUGCUCUUUCAUGAACAUUUUGAUUAUUUCAAGUGUGUUUUGACGUGCUGAUUUGAUCCAACUUUUCAGCUUGUUAUGCCAGUCAUCUAAAUGAUUGUUUGUCCUGUGUCCUUCUGUUUAGUGGUGGGUUCAGAUUGGUUGUUGGUAUCUGUUGAUAUCAGAAAAAUAAAAGUCAGCUUAUUUGGUGCAGACAUCUGUUUGUGGUGCGUUUUCAAAGGCUUGCAAUCAGUAGCCUUCCAAGAGAACAAAGGGCAAUACUGGUAUUGCUGCUGCAAGACGGACGAGUGUGUAGACAUCUCGGACAUCUUUGUGUUGAGUCUGAAGCCUGUAUUCUUGAUUCUUUUUUCAUAUAUAUUGCUUCUGUGUAGUGGAGCAAACAACAUAUGAGUUCUAUGUUUAGGAAUACAUAAGUAACUUCAUUUCUGGAUGCAUAUUCAAAGUCAAUGCUAACUAUGUCUGGCUGAAAAUUUAGAGUGUGUUAUCUUUUGCGAUGUUUUUCAGGAGAUUGAAAAAUCUUAUAUUAGUUUUUGUCUGCUACGGUAGAGUGCUGAACUCUUGCUUUCGAAUUUAAGCAGAUUGUAUGCAGUCUCAAGUGUCCGGGCAUUCCAUGGUGCAUAUCUGAGUUUUGUUUUUUCUUCAGCAUAAAAUAUUAAUAUUAGAUCGGAAAACAGAAAGAUAAUAUUCUUAUCAAAAGUAUUUAAUUCAAUCGGAAUCAAAGAAAUAUAUACGAAAUAUAUACUUUAUUUAUGUUUCUGAAGAAACUAACAAUUAUGAUUGAAAUCAGAAUAUUUUCAGAGUUGCAAUUAAGAAAUAAGUAUUUUAUAUGACAAUAUACUCUGCUUUUUUAUUUUUAAAUAUUCAUUUGUAAAGGAAACAUAAAAAUUAAAUCUAAAUAAAUUCUUGCAUCCUACAAAAAAAAAGUUUAUAAAAAAUAUUAAUUAUUUAUAUUUCUACGUUAAUUAUUUCAUACCAUUUUAGAUAUAACUUUUAUGAGUAAUUAUUAUUUAUUUUUUUGUAUUGUAAUAUAUCCAUAAAACGGAAAGUAAGGUAAAUUUAUUCAAUAUUUAAAUUUUAAACGGUCGUGAAUAAAAAUACUUGUGUGUUUUCUAAUCAUUAAAGCAUGAUUUUAAAUCCUUGCAGCUCAUAACAACCGUAAAAUGAUUUACAAUAAUCACAACAAAAUUUAAUUACAAUUAUAUCAAUGUUGAUUAUUUUAUACUGUUUUAGUAUGGAUUUAGAAGUCUUUGCUUAUAGCUCGUAUAGUAAUAUAUUCACAAAGUGGAAUGUUAGAAUUUAAAAAUAGAUUCAUUCGAUAAAUAAUAUGUCCAUCCGUAAAUACUUGACGUUCUUGUUUAUUGAUAUUAUAUAUAUUCACAAGAAUUUGAAAAAAAAAAAUACUAACAGGAACGUUAGUUUAUUAUGAUAAAAUUUAAAUUCAUUUUUUGUUUAUUUGUUUUAAUAGUUUAACCUUUAUAUAGCAUUUACAUAUUUGUACUAUGGUACUGUUUUGAAAAUUGUAUUCACUGUGUUGAUCAAUUAUCCUUCGCGUCUUGAUUCAUUCACAGUAUAGAUCACAUUUCAAAAGAACACUAUCGGUUUGCGUUCUAAAAAAUUCCGGAUAAAAUGUCAAUGAAUCUGGAGUCAAAACCUUUAAUGUAGGCCGUUUGACAUUCGAAUUCAACUAUAAGUUUAAGAUAUGUGAUGACGCAAAUGUGUAUUCUUUUCCUGAGUAUCAGUGAGAUGCUUUCUAUUUACUAUUUCGUACGCUAAAAUACUACUUGCACGCAAUCCUAUUUUUAAAACUCACUCGUGAAAGCUUAUUUUCGUUUUUGUUAUCUAUAAACUCAGGACACGGUAGAAAGAGCUUCACAUGUGACUUUCAAGCACGGUCAUCAUUACUAACGGUAUUCUAACCUCGAGUUGUUUCUCUUUUGUUUCUUUUUUGAGUCACUGUUCUAUUAUAAACUUUGACCUUUUCGAAAAGCUAAGGAUUGUCUACCCAAGGAAUAGAUUCCUUAACUUUGUAAUGUAUUUAGCCGCCUUUUAACUUUUUCAUUCGAGCGUCACUGAUGCUUUUUUGUAGACUUAACUCGUGUCUGGCGUACAUCAUUUUAAUUCUGGUAUCUUGUUAUAUCUACAUACCUUUUUAUAAAAAUUGGUUAUUUUAAAAGUGUGUACUGGUAUUCAUAAACUUCUGAAUUAAUAAAUUUUUCAGCAAAACUAAGUUUCCCUGUAAAAUCAGGAAACCUUAAAAUUUGAGAUGUUUUAUGAGACCAAAAUAAGUCUCUUCCUAAGAGUUCUUUAUCAAUUGCAUGCCACAUGUAGGUUUCACCGCAUACAACAUCUACCAUGAGCAAAGACAGCUUCAAAUACGAGUUGAGAACAUAUAGGCAUUUAUGUAGGAAAACAAAAUAUUAAGAAUAUGAUAGUUAAAAUAAAUGCAUCCAAAUCCAGAUUAUAAAGCAAACUUAGUGCCAUAAAUUUUAAAUUGCGAUAGUUAAAUGUGCAAUUUGCAUAAGUCAUCCGGUUAGUAGAAAUCAAGAUUUGCCAAAGGGUUAUAAUCGGAAAAAUUAUGUACAUUCCCAAGUGAUAAAUAAAAUAGUCGAGCUUUAAAAUAACCAUUCAAAUAGAAGCUAAAAUAUUACUUUCAUCUGGCUUCUUCUAUUCACAGUCAAUUAUUUCAAUUCAAAAGCAAACACAAAUUCAGCAACAAUCUGUUGGUGACCCGGCAGUCUGCAUAGGUUCAUGUAUUGCUUUUCUUUUUUUAAAGAAAGCACUACAGGUGGAUAAUCGCGAAAAAAAUAAUUGUCUCUAAGGAGGUAUAAUAGUUGUGGUUCUUGCGAUCUAAAAACCAUGAUAUGGAGAACGCUCUGAUUGGCUUAUUUAUUUUUCAUUUUUGUAAUCAUACAAUUGGUUGUUCUUGUGCAUGUUUAAAUGGAAAACGGUACUAUUUAUUCUGCCAUAGGCGACAUAAUUAACAUUUUCUAAAUUUACCACUUUUUAAGAUAGAAACCUGGAUAAAACAGCUAUAUGUUGUGUUACUACUUUAUUAUUUUAUUUUAAAAAUUAAAGCCAAAUAGUAUCAUGAACAACUUCCAACGGGAAAACAGUAGUAUUACAUUUUCAUAGCAUAAGGUUGGCCGUUUGUGUACCCAAGACAGGUGAAGGAAGUCAACUUAGGAGCGCCGUGAUUGGAUGUGUAGGGUACAAUAUAUUUUUUAUUUAUCUAUGAAUAACUGCAGUGUUUAUAUUUACAAUAUAAAUUUUAACCUAUUGAAAUACUUUCUAGAGAAUUAUUCGAAAGGCUUUCAAAACUUAUAAAUUUUGCUGCAAAAUGACGUGGGCAUUGAUAACAUAAACAAGCUCCGUUGGAAAUUGGUCAUGAUACUAUUUGGCUCAUUUUAAAAUAGAGUAAUAAAGUACUAACACCACAAUAACUGUUUUUAUCCAGGUUUUAUUAUAAAAAGUGGUAAAAUUAGAAAAUGUUAGUAUUGUCGCUGGCAAAUAAAUAGUACGCGUUUUCCCCUAUAACCGGCAGUCUUAUAUAUGACUAAAAGUCAGUCUGAUAACGGAAACAAUAUCCGGACAUCUUUUUUGUCGUUUUUCUCCCAAAAUAACUCAAUCUGAAUAAUCAUAAGAAUGGAUGACAAAUACGACUAUGCAUGUUACCUAAAGAACACAGAGGCAUGAUGAUUAAUUUAUUGUGGAAGAAGAGAAGCGACACACAAAAUGGGGUCUUUUCGUUUAAUAGUAUAGAAAAGUUCAGAUGUAGAGCUAUUACUCUAUAUAUAAUUGAAACAUUAUUUCUUUCCAGGUGGUCGUAAAGUUUGACUUUGAUAUCCGGUUGUCGUCGAAAAACUUGUUGUCCCCCUGAUUUUAUAGGCAUCGCUUGUGAUAUUUAAAAAAAAAAUUUUUUUUUAAAAUAAUGAAUGAAUAUCUUAUAAUAUUCUUUUUUAUAUAAUUUCAGAUCAUGAGUGGGGCUUGUGAUAUUAAACUAAUUAAAUGCAUAUCUUAUGAUAUUUUUUUUUUAUUUAUAAUUUCAGUUCAUGCGUGGGGAUAUCAUCAUGGAGUUCGUAAGUGUUUUUACCUCGUUAUUUAAAGACAUAAUUUCAGGGACUGAGUUUUUGGCUUUCCCUCGACAUCAUUUAAUUGCGAGUAAGGUCUUGCGAAACGAUGAUAGUCUAUCAGAAGGGGACUAUAAAUGGCUGACCCGUGUUAAGAGAAAGCCAUAUGUGUUGCACGUAAAAGACACACUUGAAGAUUUUAGAAAAAGAGCAGGCUAAUGUCGCUACAAGGCAGCACUCUCACUAGUGAAGUGGAAAGGGAUUACUAUAAGUUGCAAUAACUUGUUUCCCCAAUCCACUAUAAAUUAAUAAUAUAAAAAAGAAGAUGUGGCAUGAUUGCCAAUGAGACAACUAUCCACAAAGGACCAAAAUGACACAGACAUUAACAACUAUAGGUCACCGUACGGCCUUCAACAAUGAGCAAAGCGCACAGUCAGCUAUAAAAGGCCCCAUUAAGACAAUGUAAAACAAUUCAAACAAGAAAACUAAUGGCCUUAUUUAAUAAAAAAAAAAAAUGAACGAAAAACAAAUAUGUAACACACAAACAAACGACAACCACUGAAUUACAGCUAGGCUCCUGACUUGGGACAGGCACAUACAUAAAUAAUGUGGCGGGGUUAAACAUUUUAGCGGGAUCCCAACAUGUUUAUACUAAGACAUUUUGUGGUAAAUUCACAUAUGAUAAUAUUUGGCAGGCAAGAAAAUGGUUAACAUCGUUAUUGUAUUACAAUUAUCAAUGGUGACUGUUUAUAUAAGAGAUCGAAUCAAUGGCUUUUCAUUUAUUGUAACUCGGCAAAUAUUACAAAUACAAAUACAUGUUUGUAAAGUAUAAUAUCAUUCAAAAAAUGAUAAUGUACGAGUGUCAUUGAUAAAAUUGGUAAUGAACGUUUUAUGCAUGGACGUUGCACAUGAUUUAUUUUACAUAAUCAUAUUCAGUUAUGUCGUUAUAGAAUAUAUAUAGGUCAAUUCAUUUACUAAUUUCAAACCUUUUAAAAUCGUUAUACAAUGUAUUAUGUAUAUAUCUUAUGGCAGUUGGUACAUUUUCCCUUUCAAAUCGUAGACAUUACACCCAUAAAUUAAACCAGAUGUACCAUAUGUAUAUGGGUUAUUGUCUGUACUUGAUACUCUGUAUACAUGUAAGUAUAAUGUAAGUUUCAAUAGACUUUUUUGAGUUUUUUUUAACGUGAGGAGCGUAAACUGAAAAAUAUAUAGAAAUAUUUAUAAUUAUACUUUAUGCAUUUUUUUCAAGAAAAUGCAAUCUUUGCAAAAUCAAAUUUUAAAUAGCUGAUUCAUUAGAGUGAUUUCUAAAUAUUGAAUAGAAGCCACAUGUUGUUUUUAUAUCUAUAAAAAAAAAGAAGGUGUGGUAUGAUUUUCAAUGAGACAACUCUCCUCAAGAGACCAAAUGACACAGAAAUUAACAACUACAACAACGGCCUCCAACAAUGAGCAAAGCCCAUACCGCAUAGUCAGCUAUAAAAGGCCCCGAUAAGAAAAUGUAAAACAAUUCAAACGAGAAAACUAACGGCCUUAUUUAAUUACAAAAAUGAACAAAAAACAAAUAUGUAAGACAUAAACAAACGACAACCAUUGAAUUACAGGCUCCUGAGUUGGGCUUUAGUCUGCAUUUUCAAUAAACAUCUUUGAGGUAUAGCAGAUCAUAGAUGUCGAGAUACAACUUAUAUAAUUCCUACACAAACUAUAUCAAAUUUAGUAAAUUUCAUCAUUGUUUUCGUUUCUAUUAAAUUUGAUAAUCAAAAGUUGACUAGGGUAUAAAUAGUAGGUCACUUGCACUAGCACUCUUCCAUCCUGCAGUGAAAAAAAUCACAUUAGGCAGUAAUUCAUGGGUAAUUGGAGAAUGGUAUGAUCCAAGUCAUAAUAUAUGCUGUCUCAUAAAACUUCUUUUCUGGACAUUUAAUUAUGCUAAUCUUUCAAAAGUGUAUUAUAUUCAUGAUGUUUGCUGCUCCAAUUAAAAAAAAUCUUGAGUAUUUCUAAACGCAUCGGACCCUUCUAGUUUCCGUUUUGUAAAUACAGCUGUUUGACAAACCACGCCUCUUAUGAAGAGAGAUAUAUAAUACUAACACAUAUUUCUUAUGAACCAUACAGAAACUUAUUUUAUAUAUUAUAUAUAUAAUGUAUAUUCUAUAUAUAAUGUAUUUAUAAUAAUACAUUUUUGAUUAACAAAAAGACGUCAUUUGUAAAAAUUACUAGAACUCACUCGCGAAAUCUAGGUCAUUUAGUGCGUGGUUGAAAAUAUGUAAACUGUGUAGGCUGGAUUUGUAUAAAACGUUUUAGGACUGGAGAAUUUCAUGAAAGUAAUCAAAAGUUAAAGGUGUUUGGUACCAGGACAAUUUUUCAGCCCUCCCCCUUUAUCCAAAUUCAUAUACUUAUACAUAUACUAUUAUUAAAGUGUAUUUGCUAUUUACUACAGAUCCAAGUUAACUAUCCCCGGCGGUCACUGGUAUAUUAUAUAGAGACUCUUUAAUAUAAUCAUAGAUAUAUAUAACCAUAGAUCUAUGGUUGAAUAAAAUAUUAGGGACUACCAUUUGUUUUUAGGGGGGGGGCUAGAUGAUAUUUGAAAAAAUGCAGGACAGGAGUUUGAGUAAAAAAAAGCGAUAGACAAUUGCAAAAAAAAAAAGUGACACGGAAGUCAGGAUAAGUAAAAAAAAAAAUUUUUUCAUCCUAGCCCCCCCCAUAAAAAUCAAAUGGUAGCUCCCUUAGUGACCGCCGUUGAUAGACGGUAAACUUGAAAUUGAUAGUACAUUGUAAAUAGAAAAUACACUUUAUUUAUAGUACAUAUAUGCUUGAUGAUAUUAGUAUAGUAUACUUAUACAUGUAGUAUCAAAGUAUACAGAAAAACGUGAAACAAUUGUCCUGUCCCCAAAUACUGUGUAUAUGUGUAAUUUUUAAAAAGUCAUAACCGGAAGUUUUGGCUAUGCCUUAAAAGUCCGUCCGAUGAUGGAAACAAUAUCCGGACGUCUUUAUUUUCGUUUUUCUCCCCCUAAAACACAUAAACUGAAUAAUCAUAAGCGAGGACGACAAAUGUGACUAUGCAUGGUACCUAUCACAGAGACAUACUUAUUAAUUUAUCGCGGAAGAAAGAGAAGCGACAUACAAAAUGAGGUCAUCUAAUUUAAAUAGUAUAGAAUAAUGUUGAUAUAUAUAGAUAUCAUAAGUUUCAACAGCGGAAGUUCCUUGACUUGUAUAUUAAAUCAGUUAUAAGCAAUCCUGAUACAUGAAUGUUAGGAAUAAUAUAUGAUUUUUUAAUAGUUCAUUUUGCUUGUGUUUUAUUAGACCCAGACCAUUGGAAGGACUUAUUCCCGACAUGUGCUGGGAAGCUACAGUCUCCGAUAGAUAUCCAGACAGCUAAGGUUAAGACUGACACAAAACUAGGAAAGUUUAAUUUCCAUGGGCUCUCAUUGGGAAGGGAUGUGAACCUUGAACUUCAGAACAACGGACAUGCCG
rnacentral:lncRNA from 1 species